GCUAAAGCGGAGGAAGGAAUGGGCAACGGUAGGUCAGUAUGCCCCGAAUAUCCCGGGCUACACGCGAGCUACAAUGGUUGGUACAAUGGGUAUCUACCCCGAAAGGGGACGGGAAUCUCCUAAAACCAAUCUUAGUUCGGAUUGAGGGCUGCAACUCGCCCUCAUGAAGCUGGAAUCCGUAGUAAUCGCGUUUCAACAGAACGCGGUGAAUACGUUCUCGGGGUUU
rnacentral:rRNA from 1 species